GAGCAGAAGCUGCAGAGAUGUAAAUGCCCUUAGCCAAGUUUUUUUGGGUACUGAUAUAGGCUAAAAACAAAUAAAUAUAUGGCAUCUGAUUUAGGAAGAAACAGGUUAUCAAACAGAAAAGAUCUCGACCUGUUAGUCGAGAACAAAAGCCAGUGGGGUUGACAUUUCCAAGCAAGUGCGGUGUCAUGAGAUCUCUUUGGUGACCUUGUCAUAUAGAAAUCACUACAAACACUUCUCUGUUUCAGUGGCCCCAGGAAAGAGUAGGAGGUUGGUUACUUAUCAGAGCAACUGCCUCCUUGGGGAGAAGGUGUGAAUGACCUUCCUUGACUAAGUCACUGGAUAGUCUGCAGAGCAAAGCCUGGCCGCUGGUACCAAUAGAAGCGCCUGUGAUAGAGCCCUACCUCGAAUGCCCUCUUCCCAGUUGUAGCUAAGGACUCAGCAGCAAAGGUGGAUGCCACUGGUUCUCAGAACAAGAAGUGCUGCAUCUGGCUGGCUUACCAGUGCGUACCGGGUGAACUUGCACCAUGAAACACACGGGCAUGGGCAAGGUGCUUCCUGCCUCCUCUGGGGAACUCUUCACCCUCCCAGUGUGCAGAGGCUGAAGACACAAGGAGGCACUCGCUCAGCAGACUCUGUAUCUUUGGAAAGCUUUGUCUGCCUAUCAGAAACAAUGAGCGUGUCCAAAACAGAUCCUAGCCAACUAUGCACACGUGUGUGUGUGUGUGUGCACGUGUGUGUGUGUGUGUGUGUGUGAGAGAGAGAGAAAGGUAUACAAUAUGUAUGUGUACAAAUAAAUUAUACGACAUUAGAAACUGUGUUUAAACA
rnacentral:lncRNA from 1 species